CAGUAGCCGCGGGAAAACAGAGGGUGCGAGCGUUAAUCGGAUUUACUGGGCGUAAAGCGUGCGUAGGCGGCUUCUUAAGUCGGAUGUGAAAUCCCUGAGCUUAACUUAGGAAUUGCAUUCGAUACUGGGAAGCUAGAGUAUGGGAGAGGAUGGUAGAAUUCCAGGUGUAGCGGUGAAAUGCGUAGAGAUCUGGAGGAAUACCGAUGGCGAAGGCAGCCAUAUGGCCUAAUACUGACGCUGAGGUACGAAAGCAUGGGGAGCAAACAGGAUUAGAUACCCCUGUAGUCCCUGUCUCUUAUAC
rnacentral:rRNA from 1 species